rnacentral:rRNA from 1 species
UACGUAGGGGGCAAGCGUUGUCCGGAAUCAUUGGGCGUAAAGAGCGUGUAGGCGGUUCGGUAAGUCGGCUGUGAAAGUCCAGGGCUCAACCCCUGGGAUGCCGGUCGAUACUGCCGGACUAGAGUUCGGAAGAGGCGAGUGGAAUUCCCGGUGUAGCGGUGAAAUGCGCAGAUAUCGGGAGGAACACCUAUGGCGAAGGCAGCUCGCUGGGACGUUACUGACGCU